UCUUAUGGAUGGGCAAAGAAAGUGGUUUACUGAGAUGUAAUCUACUCCUGAGGAAGAUGUUAUGAA
rnacentral:pre_miRNA from 1 species